ACGGCCAUACCACAUUGAAAACACCGGUUCUCGUCCGAUCACCGAAGUUAAGCAAUGUCGGGCCCGGUCAGUACUUGGGAGGGUGACCACCUGGGAACACCGGGUACUGUAGGCU
rnacentral:rRNA from 1 species